rnacentral:rRNA from 1 species
AGUGAACGCUGGCGGUAGGCCUAACACAUGCAAGUCGAACGGCAGCACAGUAAGAGCUUGCUCUUACGGGUGGCGAGUGGCGGACGGGUGAGGAAUACAUCGGAAUCUACUUUUUCGUGGGGGAUAACGUAGGGAAACUUACGCUAAUACCGCAUACGACCUACGGUUGAAAGCAGGGGAUCUUCGGACCUUGCGCGAUUGAAUGAGCCGAUGUCGGAUUAGCUAGUUGGUGGGGUAAAGGCCCACCAAGGCGACGAUCCGUAGCUGGUCUGAGAGGAUGAUCAGCCACACUGGAACUGAGACACGGUCCAGACUCCUACGGGAGGCAGCAGUGGGGAAUAUUGGACAAUGGGCGCAAGCCUGAUCCAGCCAUACCGCGUGGGUGAAGAAGGCCUUCGGGUUGUAAAGCCCUUUUGUUGGGAAAGAAAAGCAGCAGGUUAAUACCCCGCUGUUCUGACGGUACCCAAAGAAUAAGCACCGGCUAACUUCGUG